GAUGAACGCUGGCGGCGUGCCUAAUACAUGCAAGUCGAGCGAACAGACGAGGAGCUUGCUCCUCUGACGUUAGCGGCGGACGGGUGAGUAACACGUGGAUAACCUACCUAUAAGACUGGGAUAACUUCGGGAAACCGGAGCUAAUACCGGAUAAUAUAUUGAACCGCAUGGUUCAAUAGUGAAAGACGGUUUUGCUGUCACUUAUAGAUGGAUCCGCGCCGCAUUAGCUAGUUGGUAAGGUAACGGCUUACCAAGGCAACGAUGCGUAGCCGACCUGAGAGGGUGGUCGGCCACACUGGAACUGAGACACGGUCCAGACUCCUACGGGAGGCAGCAGUAGGGAAUCUUCCGCAAUGGGCGAGAGCCUGACGGAGCAACGCCGCGUGAGUGAUGAAGGUCUUCGGAUCGUAAAACUCUGUUAUUAGGGAAGAACAAAUGUGUAAGUAACUAUGCACGUCUUGACGGUACCUAAUCAGAAAGCCACGGCUAACUACGUG
rnacentral:rRNA from 1 species